ACUCAGGGAAGUGACUCCAGUUCCAAUCAGUCCACAAGGCACAAUGUGCUCAAACCACGUGAGGUCGGUAGAACAAUUCAGAGCCAAGCCAUGGGAUGUGAUGUGUCUUCCACAGCGGACUCCUGCAAGGCAAGCCGAAAUAUCUCAGCAUGGCUAGACUUCCUUCUUUGGGGCCUCAGGAUCCCUCUAGUGCUGAAAGAUUUCUCUCCCACGAGUUCCAGAGCAGAGAAGCAGGGGAAGGGAGAGCUGGCACGGUGCCGAGAGUGGAAGUGGUUGAAUGUUGAAAAGGGGUCUUUGGUUGUGAGGUCAAAGCCAGGAUGGCCCACUGGGAAGGCCAGGGAUGAGGAGGCAAGCUGCCUACCGGUCUGGAAGGAAGAAGGAUGUCCGGGGUCAGGGAUGACGAUGACACUAGUGUUCGCAGCCAUGGGAGAGAAGUGAGUAUGAAAAAUACCUUGUCCGAAGUGGGCACCCCGCCACCAUUGGGAGAACCGUGAGAAUCCAGUUUGUUCCCAUAACAGUGCCACCGGGAGGUGAGGUCACCGGGAACAUUACUUUUCCCUAUGGCAGCCCUGACCAAAACCAUCCAACUGCAUCAGGAACAGACAAUGCCUCGGAAGAAACUGAAGUGGCUGUUGCACAGCUUCUGGGUGCCCCGAGGCAACUGAUUGUCUGGGUUAGCACUUCUGGUCUGCUCCAGAGCAAAGGUGGGGAGGGUGCUUUCACGCCCUAAGGGGGAGCUUUUCUGGCUCAAGCGUAGCAAGUCUAUGAGAUGGCUCUUUUCAAGCUCUUACAGAGAUCGAACUUGGAGUUGGAGAGAGGAAAGAAACUGCUAAUCUGGAUGGCAGAACUGAAUAUUCUCAAACUGACAGAGAAUCUGCAGGGGCUUGAUCAAGGGAACUUACUCCGUUCGUUCGUUCAUUCAUUCAUUCACUCAUUCAUUCAUUCAUUUCCUUCCUGAGCCUACCCCAGCAUAGGGAAGUGAGGAUUUGGCAAAUAAAUGAACAGAUUCAGUCCCUCA